UGGCUCAGAUUGAACGCUGGCGGCAUGCCUUACACACGCAAGUCGAACGGCAGCGGACCUUCGGGUGCCGGCGAGUGGCGAACGGGUGAGUAAUAUAUCGGAACGUACCUUUCAGUGGGGGAUAACGUAGCGAAAGUUACGCUAAUACCGCAUAUUCUGUGAGCAGGAAAGCAGGGGAUCGCAAGACCUUGCGCUGAUUGAGCGGCCGAUAUCAGAUUAGCUAGUUGGUGAGGUAAAGGCUCACCAAGGCGACGAUCUGUAGCGGGUCUGAGAGGAUGAUCCGCCACACUGGAACUGAGACACGGUCCAGACUCCUACGGGAGGCAGCAGUGGGGAAUUUUGGACAAUGGGCGCAAGCCUGAUCCAGCCAUGCCGCGUGAGUGAAGAAGGCCUUCGGGUUGUAAAGCUCUUUCGGCCGGGAAGAAAUCGCACAGGUUAAUACCCUGUGUGGAUGACGGUACCGGAAUAAGAAGCACCGGCUAACUACGUG
rnacentral:rRNA from 1 species